rnacentral:tRNA from 1 species
GUGAAUAUAGUUUAUAAAAAUUCUAGUUUGUGAUUCUAGAGAAGGGGGCUAACACCCCCCUAUUCACC